CUUUUUCAUCUAUCUAUUUUUACUGGUGACUUAACUUGCUAUAUAUUUGUCAACUUUUUUAAAAAAACAGCAUGAGAUAGAAUGAAGCAUCGCUAACUCUAACGCUGAUCUCUCUUAGCUUAGAGUGUUUAAGGUGUUUAGUGAGUCCUAUCAAAUGACCUUAAGAUUUUAGCAUGCCUCUCUUGUUAUGCCUCUCUUGUUUCCUCUUUAGGAUUUCAUGACGUGUCAACUUCUUUAUUGGUUAAUACAAUAUAUGAAUGAUGCAUGAAGAACCUGAAGUGUCAUUGUAGGAUAUAGAUAUUACGGUUUUCUUUCUCUAAAUUUCGAAAUGUUUUUUUACAACAUAUGUAAUGAGAACUUCCUCUGUCAAGAAUCCAUUUAUCCUUCAUCAACUCUCUUCGUAGAUCAAAAGAGCGUGGUCAUCUUCAACUUCUUCACAGACGGCAUUAGUGACAAUUGCAUCGGGACACUUUCAACAUCUCCAUGUCCUCCUUUGCCUUUAUGGAUAUUUAAUAUGCCCAACCUUUGUAGUAUUGACAUAACUACUAACAAAAGCUCUUAACGCCUCCUUUCUUCUUGUUGUUGGGUAACUUCGCCACAAAAAGCUCUGUUAGAUGAGCUACCUUUUGAUUCUUACAUCAUCAAUCUCUUGGCUCCGAAAGAAAGACAACCGCAGUAUCUAGAGCAAAAUUGGUAUCCUGUUAACAAAGAAGUAAUAUAAUCUAAUUACAGAAAACUAUUAUCAAGUAGGAUUUCUAAAUAUUCUUGAAUAUUUGAAUACUAAGACAGAGAAAAUCUCUCGAAACUUCAGCUGUCCAGUUGCCCGCCCAAGCACAAGUUCAAGAAGCCACAAGUUGCCGCCUUCCCAAGCAAUUUGGUCCCAUCCACCCAGACACUCUCUUUGGAGCCCAUUUUGCCUCCAAGUCCGUAGCUUCCAACCUCUUCUUAGUCACUAACAUAUUGGUCUUACAAAUUUUUUUCAUAAAAUAUCAAAACUAAUGAGAAUUCCCAGAGUGUAUAUGUAGGAAGGACAUUCCUUGCACAAACAAACCUAAUAAAACUCUUAGAGGCACCUGGUUACAUUUAACUUCAGAGGGCUAAGAUUAAAAGCUAGCAAUUAAUUGAUCAUUGAGAAAAGGAGAGAGCUUGUAUAUAACAAUAGGAUCUGCUGCCCGACGGGCUGAUAGAACGACCACCUACAUUAUUGUGAGUACAAAGGUAUCCGUUUAGCAGGACUUAAAAAUUUAAAAUUGAUAUCGAUAUAUUAUUUGGAAUUCUAAGCUCUUAUUUUGUGAAGAAAAUAAGAUGUACAUUAUAAGCUUUAUAACUAAUCAUGAUGGUUAAUACAGUUAGCCACUGUCUAAUAACAGAGGUUGUGUGGUGUGAUUGUAUAAUGUAUGUCGCAGACAGUCAUUUCGUGGAAUGGCAAGUUCAAAAUCCGCUGUAGAACAGCCUUUAGUAAUGGAGCUAUUUGAAUGAAUACUACGGUCAGGUGAAAAACUGUGCAGACUUGGUGAAUGUUUAGCUGUAGGUGCAUCAGUACAUGGUUGUAUCAUGCACUGCUGCGAGCGCGGUCGUGCAGAAGCCAGUGAAAUAGCAGCAGGGAAGCAAAGAAGUUCACUCGGACUUUCUUUGGCCUGGUUUGCUUGUGCACGUUUGUGUCCUCGUGAUGUUGGUUCAAUAAUGGAACUUUGGCAAUUCUAUUUAGGACAAGAGCAAAAUUUUCUUAAUCACAGAUGUCUAUGUAAUUAGGGAAAAAUUGGAUACAAUUAGAAAAUUACUUUUUGUAGCGCUUCAUAUGAGUUUAUACUAUGUUAGCGCUUCAUAUGUGUUGUGUCCGACACAACACUACAACACACUUAAAUAACUUUAUUGUAAACCAACAUCUUAGACAUCUUUCUAUGAAAUGCCCAAGUCCGACUCUCGGACACGUAUGCAAGUAGACACUUGUAGCCAAGUAUGAGCGACAUAGAGUUUAUAUGUUAAGGUCCA